AGCUCAAUCGUUGUCAUCUUCUUCAUCAGCGCUGUUUCGAAACAGGAGCCUGUUAGAAGUCCAAUAAUAGAUUCAUGCAUUCGGAUUACAGACAAUGGAAGGGAGAGCAUUAACAAAAAGGUCUUCUGCAUUUUCACCCUUUGCAGCACUUCAAAUAAUAAUGAUCAGCUUAAG